rnacentral:rRNA from 1 species
UACGAAGGGGGCUAGCGUUGCUCGGAAUACUGGGCGUAAAGCGUGCGCAGGCGGUGAUGUAAGACAGGUGUGAAAUCCCCGGGCUUAACCUGGGAACUGCAUUUGUGACUGCAUCGCUGGAGUGCGGCAGAGGGGGAUGGAAUUCCGCGUGUAGCAGUGAAAUGCGUAGAUAUGCGGAGGAACACCGAUGGCGAAGGCAAUCCCCUGGGCCUGCACUGACGCUCAUGCACGAAAGCGUGGGGAGCAAACAGG